UAGAAUGGUGCUGGAGAGUGUUUCUGCAAAUAUCGUUAGGGGUCUUUUAGUCACAUAUUGCAUUCGUGCAGGCUUUUACUUAACAUUGAGUUGAUUAUUUACUUAUUUAUUUUUCUGUAAAAUAUGUAAAGAUGCUUCCGCACUUCUUGGAGAGGAAAAGAAUUGUGACUAGUGCUAUUUUAAGCUUAAAGAAGCCUGCUAUCAUAAGAAAAUCCUAAUAGAUAAUUGUGUCCCUGCACUUGCAGGUGUACCGAAGUCUGUUAACUCCCACCUGGGAAGCUGUUUUGGGUGCCCUACAGAAAAACAGAAGUCUGGCAUUGCUUCCUGUGAGAGCCGAAAGCCUGGAACUGGAGCCAAAGGUCUGGCACAAAAUAUCAUUAUGGAACCUCUGAUUCCAUUACAGCCGUGGAGAGCAGAACGAAGUCAAGAAGCCUGUAAAGAAGGUGGUUCCCGCAGGCAGCGAGCUGUGCACUGACCCCAGGCUUCUGCAGCGACUACGUCUGGAGGAGUUUCUCCACUUGCUGGAAAGAAAACAUAAGGAGAAUUUUAGUGGGCAAAAUAAAGGCAUCUCUGCUCAUGUGAAUGCUCACCCAUGAGCACAACAGAGCAACACAUGUGAACCACAGAUUUUGUUUCUCUACUUUUCUUGCAGUCAUUCAUACUGUUACCUUUUUCAAUGUAUUGAUCUGCUUUUUCUGUAAACGGUGACCCCUUGUAAAGGGGUAAAUUCAGCUUGGAAGUAAUGUCUAGUAAUGUCUAGUUUCUGAUAUGCCUUUUUUCAAGGCUCACUGAGCUGAGGAAAAGGGUAUUUAAAAAGCAGACUUUGAAUAAUGCUUUAUUCAUUACACUAAAUAGCUUAUUCAUUUACUAAUCUG
rnacentral:lncRNA from 1 species